UCUCAGCUUUCUUCUCAGCUUUUCCUCUCAUCAUAACUUUCAGUUUAUUGCUUACGAUUUCAAAUAGUGACAAGUAAAAUACUGGAUCAUCCAAUCCCAAUAAGACAGCUUCGAACAAGUAAGAAAUGGAGUACUUGCUCUGGUGAAGACUAAGAACAGCUUUCCUCAUUCUAAGUUUGUGGCACACUUAAGCUUCACGACCAGGAGAAGAUUCAGAAAAAAAGGGUGACAAUCGUAUUACACGGAGCUUUCGCUGGUGAUGAUGAUCAAGAGUUUUUCUCAGUCUUAAUUUGUCUCCAUCGUGGCUUAA